rnacentral:sRNA from 1 species
AACCCUCUUAACCACUGCACUACUCAUUUACAAUUUUGGGAGAGAAACUAUUUAUAAAAUUAUACCUGAUAUUUUUUGUUGAUAUUCAUAAAAAUGUGUCACAACAUGGAGGUCUCCAAUAUUACCUCAGGCACGUUUGUUUAAGAAAAAACGUUUAAUAUUUAGCAAUUAUUUAUAUAAAUGGUUGAUAUUGUGGAAUUUUUAGAUAUUUUAAGCCGUUGUCCUCUCUAUUUGAAAAUACUAUGAGUUGAUAGUUAAAUAAAAGUAAUCAACGAAGCACCUGUUAUAUGAGGUAUGGUGUUUUCCUGUUU